GGUGUGGCUCAACGGUAGAGCAACUGUUUUGUAAACAGUCGGUUGCAGGUUUCUCCCUCCGGGAGACGCUUCGCGAACGACUCCUGCCAGGACUACCA
rnacentral:tRNA from 1 species